rnacentral:rRNA from 1 species
UAAACCUCUUUUAUCAAGGAAGAAGAUCUGACGGUACUUGAUGAAUAAGCCACGGCUAAUUCCAGUGCCAGCAGCCGCGGUAAUACGGGAGUGGCAAGCGUUAUCCGGAAUUAUUGGGCGUAAAGCGUCCGCAGGCGGUCUUUAAGUCUGUCGUCAAAGCGUGGAGCUUAACUCCAUUUCUGCGAUGGAAACUGGAAGACUAGAGUGUGGUAGGGGCAGAGGGAAUUCCCGGUGUAGCGGUGAAAUGCGUAGAUAUCGGGAAGAACACCAGUGGCGAAGGCGCUCUGCUGGGCCAUAACUGACGCUCAUGGACGAAAGCCAGGGGAGCGAAAGGGAUUAGAUACCCCUGUAGUCCUGGCCGUAAACGAUGAACACUAGGUGUCGGGGGAAUCGACCCCCUCGGUGUCGUAGCCAACGCGUUAAGUGUUCCGCCUGGGGAGUACGCACGCUAGUGUGAAACUCAAAGGAAUUGACGGGGGCCCGCACAAGCGGUGGAGUAUGUGGUUUACUUCGAUGCAACGCGAAGAACCUUACCAGGGUUUGACAUCCUGCGAAUCUCUUGGAAACGAGAGAGUGCCUUCGGGAACGCAGUGACAGGUGGUGCAUGGCUGUCGUCAGCUCGUGUCGG